ACCAUGGCGGUGACCAAGGAGCUCUUACAGAUGGACCUGUACGCGUUAUUAGGUAUCGAGGAGAAGGCGACGGACAAAGAGGCCUCUCACCGUUGUGGCCUCUCCCGCUGCGGAGCACAGGCUCCGGACGCGCAGGCUCAGUGGCCAUGGCUCACGGGCCCAGCCGCUCUGCGGCAUGUGGGAUCCUCCCGGACCAGGGCACGAACCCGCAUCCCCUGCAUCGGCAGGCGGACUCCCAACCACUGCACCACCAGGGAAGCCUCUGAAGUAAAGAAGGCAUAUAGGCAGAAGGCCCUCUCCUGCCACCCAGACAAAAAUCCGGAUAAUCCCAGAGCAGUUGAACUCUUCCAUCAGCUUUCUCAGGCCUUGGAGGUACUGACCGAUGCUGCCGCCAGGGCUGCAUAUGACAAGGUCAGGAAAGCCAAGAAGCAGGCAGCAGAGAGGACCCAGAAACUUGAUGAGAGAAGGAAGAAAGUGAAGCUUGACCUGGAGGCCCGGGAGCGGCAGGCCCAGGCCCACGGCAGCGACGAGGAGGAGGAGGAGGAGAGCCGGAGCACCGGGACACUAGAGCAAGAGAUCAGACGCCUGCGAGAAGAGGGUUCCCGGCAGCUGGAGGAGCAGCAGAGGGUGAUCCAGGAGCAGAUACGCCAGGAACGGGAACAGAGGUUGAGAGGAAUGGCAGAAAAUCCUGAAAGCAAAGGAACCCCCAAGCUAAAGGUGAGCCCUGCGGAUCUACGGGCCACCUCACACCAUCUCCUCUCAGCAGAACAGAUGCUUCCAUGGGCACAGCUCAAGUGGAAGAGCAAGGAGGCCAAGUCACAAGGCGGCUAUUCCAGAGAUGUCCUCCUGCGGCUUUUUCAAAAGUACGGAGAGGUGCUCAACCUGGUACUGUCCAGUAAGAAGGCAGGCACCGCCGUGGUGGAGUUUGCAACCAUCAAGGCUGCGGAGCUGGCUGUCCAGAAUGAAGUGGGCCUAGUCGAUAACCCUCUGAAGAUUUCCUGGUUGGAGGGACGGCCCCAGAGCACAAUGGGCCCUAACCACCCAGGACUGUCCCAGGGUUCCGUGCGGUCUGAGAGGGACUAUGAGAGCCUCGUCAUGAUGCGCAUGCGCCAGGCAGCUGAGAGGCAGCAGCUGAUCGCCCAGAUGCAGCAGGAGGACCAGGCUGGGCAGCCCACGUAGCCUCCUGCCUUCAGCCCUCCCAUCCCACAGCCCUUUUCUUAAACGUCACCAAUAAACUUUUUUUUUUUUUUUUUAGAGUCUACCUCUAUUGCAUACAUAGGUGUAGGGUGUGGGCCUGCCCAAGUGUGGCCUUGGUUUCUGGGUUCUGCCUUGGAGGGCUCCACCCAGGCCUGGCUCUCCCUCCCAGGGAGGCGCUCCACACGGUGAGAGUCAGUGGCCAGCAGAGCAGAGGAGCAGCCACUCAUCACAGCCCUUUACUGGCUUGGACUAGCUACACAGGACCCACACGCCCAGUCCUGGAGCCAUGCUCCGCAGGGGCACCCAGCUCCCUGCCAGGGGCAGCCUGGCUCUUGCCAGCUCCUCAGCCUGCCACAGAACACGGCCUCCUCCAGGGCCCGUGCCAGGCCUGAAGCUGGAGGGGCAGCUGGGGGCACCAGGCCCAGAGGCCCUGCCCCCCCCACUGGCUGAGGCAGGUUUCAGAGAAGGCCGUUCAUUGCCCAGUGGUGCUGGGCCGAGGAAAAUGACGACUUGGGAAGAAUGGGCAGGGCGGUGAGUGAGGCAGGGUCCUGGGGUCGGGGCCCAUGGCAACCACUCCAGAGAAGGGGUGACUGCAGCUCAUCAGCGUGGGAGGGUCACUCCUUGUGCAGGCACCACACCAACGUCUGGCCCACCCCUGUCAUGCUCAGCACACGGAAGCCUCUGCGCUCCAGCUUGUCAAGGACUAUUCGAGGAGGGUCAUUGACGUAGUACUCACAACUGCGAAGAGAAGGAGGGUGGCGUGAGGGGGUACACAGCACAGCCCGUACCAAGCUAGUAUCUGCUGCAGACUAGGCCUGGUCAGGAGUACUCCUAACAGGGACUGACGUUUGCUGGGUGCCUUCUGGGUGCCGGGCUGAGUACACAUUCCCUGCCCCUCAUCUACUAAGCUCUUUGCAUCAUCUCAUUUAUUCCUCCCAACAACCUAAGGAAGGUACUGUUAUUGUUCCCAUUUUAUAAGUGAGAAAAGAGAGGAGUAAAGCAGCUUUCCCGAUGUCAUCCAGAGAGUAGAACCGGCAUGAGUCUGACAACAGCUCCAUGUGCCCUAGGCCACUGCCCAUUCAGCAGGAGCGGCCUGCUCUCCCUGGGACCCUCCCCCAGGCCUCUGCCCUCUUGCUGCCUGGCUGUCCUGUAGUCGUGGAGCAAUAAGUUGGGCCCCCAAGAGCUCCUGGCUCUGAGUGCCACUCCCUAGGAUGGAGAAUGCCUGGUUUCCCUUCUUUCAGAGUUAAUUAAUUCUGAAGGGCCAUCAAGUAGAUAAAGGGCUGAAGCCCCAGGCUGGGCAUCUGAGAGACAAAAGCCUUAUGGCAAAGGGAUGGCGUUGGCUUCUGCCCUCCAACCCUGACCAGGGGGCUACGGCCAGCUCGCCUCCUCUUUCCCUUCUUCUAACUGGGGUGCACUCUGGUGACCCUUCUCAGGAGUUUGAGCCUGUGUAGCCAGAGUUCUCCCUGCUUAUGGCAGGAAGGGGUGAAGGGCAGAAAAGGAAGCAUGAAUCACUGUUUAGACUUGGGGCUGGUGUGAAGGAUGCCAAGGGAAGUGGCUAAGUCCCCAGGCAGCAGCUGAACUGGAAGCAGGACCCAGGCUCCCUUCUCCCUGUUUCUAGGGCUGAGCUUUGUUACUUAGCCAUCUCUUCAAGACAGAAGCCUUUCUCUGUGCUUGUCUUUGCCUUGAUGGGAUCCAGUUUAGAGAUGAGAGGGCAGGGCAAGGAGCAGUCCACUUGCAGAGUCCUAUACUCAGGGAACCAGACUCUGUCCUGGGACUUUGUCCAGGGGCUCCCUUGUGAAGGGAGGGCCAGUGGGAAAGCUCUCAGAGAAAGCCUACAGAGGACAGAUCCCCAGGAUGCAGGCAGAGGGGUCCUGAGGCUAGGCAGUGGCAUUGUCCUGUUGUGUAAAAGGAACAGAGACAGGUCUAGGGGCUGGCAAGGAGAAGAUCCUUAGGAAUGCUACUACUUACAAAUUGUUUCCCAGGACACUUCUUUUUGAGGCCCCCAGAUGCCGCAUCAGUUCUGGAUCGGAGUGCUCAUCGCCCACCAUGGUGGGGCCCACCUCCUGCAAGUUGCUUGAGGAGCACUGAAUUCCCAAGCCUCAGGCUUCCAGAGUGCUUCCGGAGGUCUGGGAAGGGGUCCAGGAGUCUACAUUUUAACAACUGCACAGCUGACUGGUUCUUAAACCACUGCCCUGUGGCACUGCCGAGACCUCUCCUGCCCAGUGGUGAGCCCAUCUGUUAUUUCCUGCAUCCCAAGGGAGCUGUGUACCCUCUGAUGGAUCACCCAAGCACUGGGGAGUGGGAAGGGGCAGAGGAGCAUCCUGCUACCCAGGUUGGGAACCCGGUCAUAUUAUUCUGAAGCCAGAUGGGGACUCAUGGAGCAACCAGCACCUUCUUUUUGCAGAGGAAACUGCGCCCAGGGAAAGGGGCGUGGUUUCUGACUGUUGAAUGGUGUUCUCCCAUCUCUAACCCCAUGGGCUGUCUCGGGUUCUUUCUUCUCUUCCUUUUCUAAGGUCUCAGGAGAGCUCUUCCUGGAAGUGCCUAAGGGUGUAGCUAGUGGGCCAC